rnacentral:tRNA from 1 species
GCCUUAGCAGUGUAGUGGUGUGCACACUUGACAUGUAACCGAGAGGUCCGUGGUUCAAUUCCCGGCGAAGGCG